GAUGAACGCUGGCGGCGUGCCUAAUACAUGCAAGUCGAGCGAACAGACGAGGAGCUUGCUCCUCUGAUGUUAGCGGCGGACGGGUGAGUAACACGUGGAUAACCUACCUAUAAGACUGGGAUAACUUCGGGAAACCGGAGCUAAUACCGGAUAACAUGUUGAACCGCAUGGUUCAACAGUGAAAGACGGUCUUGCUGUCACUUAUAGAUGGAUCCGCGCCGCAUUAGCUAGUUGGUAAGGUAACGGCUUACCAAGGCAACGAUGCGUAGCCGACCUGAGAGGGUGAUCGGCCACACUGGAACUGAGACACGGUCCAGACUCCUACGGGAGGCAGCAGUAGGGAAUCUUCCGCAAAGGGCGAAAGCCUGACGGAGCAAGGCCGCGUGAGUGAAGAAGGUCUUCGGAUCGUAAAACUCUGUUAUUAGGGAAGAACAAAUGUGUAAGUAACUAUGCACGUCUUGACGGUACCUAAUCAGAAAGCCACGGCUAACUACGUG
rnacentral:rRNA from 1 species